AAUCAACGCUGGCGGCGUGCCUAACACAUGCAAGUCGAACGCGAAAACCCCGCAAGGGGUUAGUAGAGUGGCAAACGGGUGAGUAACGCGUGGGUGACCUGCCUUCGAGCGGGGGAUAACGUUCCGAAAGGGACGCUAAUACCGCAUAACAUCCUGCCCUUGAACGGGUGGAGAUCAAAGCUGGGGAUCGCAAGACCCGGCACUUGAAGAGGGGCCCGCGUCUGAUUAGCUAGUUGGUGAGGUAACGGCUCACCAAGGCAACGAUCAGUAUCCGGCCUGAGAGGGGCGGACGGACACACUGGGACUGAGACACGGCCCAGACUCCUACGGGAGCAGCAGUGGGGAAUUGUUCGCAAUGGGCGCAAGCCUGACGACGCAACGCCGCGUGGAGGAUGAAGA
rnacentral:rRNA from 1 species